GCCCGCGUGGCCUAAUGGCUAAGGCGUCUGACUGUAAAUCAGAAGAUUGCCAGUUCGAUCCUGGCCGUGGGCU
rnacentral:tRNA from 5 species